rnacentral:rRNA from 1 species
UACAGAGGGUGCGAGCGUUGUUCGGAAUUAUUGGGCGUAAAGGGCGCGUAGGCGGUUUGACAAGUCUGAUGUGAAAUCUCUGGGCUCAACCCAGAGUCUGCAUUAGAAACUGUCGGGCUUGAGUAUGGGAGAGGUGAGUGGAAUUUCCGGUGUAGCGGUGAAAUGCGUAGAUAUCGGAAGGAACACCUGUGGCGAAGGCGGGUCUCUGGACAGUUCCUGACGCUGAGGCACGAAGGCCAGGGGAGCAAACGGG